rnacentral:rRNA from 1 species
GUGUCAGCCGCCGCGGUAAUACGUAGGGUGCGAGCGUUGUCCGGAAUUAUUGGGCGUAAAGAGCUUGUAGGCGGUUUGUCGCGUCUGCCGUGAAAAUUCGAGGCUCAACCUCGAACUUGCGGUGGGUACGGGCAGACUAGAGUGUGGUAGGGGAGACUGGAAUUCCUGGUGUAGCGGUGAAAUGCGCAGAUAUCAGGAGGAACACCGAUGGCGAAGGCAGGUCUCUGGGCCACUACUGACGCUGAGAAGCGAAAGCAUGGGGAGCGAACAGGAUUAGAUACCCCGGUAGUCC